UUGAAAUUUCAGUUCCCUCCCCACACAUAAUCUUUACCGUUGUUUCUUCUUUUCCUCUUCUUUUUAUUUCCAAGGAUCGAAGCUCUGGUUGAAAGAAAAAGGGUAUUAGGAAACCUUUCUCGUUCUCCUACCCUUUAGGUCAAUUGUCCACCACCGCUACUCCAUCGCCCCAUGUUCGAUCACGUGCUUACCGAUAGUAUUAUUGUAUGGCUUCAACCCUAAUUUCAUAUCUUCUAAAUAUGUGAGAACCCAACACCGUGAAAUCCCUUUGAAACCCAUAAACCCCUUUUAAAUCGUUGGUACCGCUCCACCACCCCUAUUUGUCAGUUGCAGCUCCACCGCCCACUCCGCCUCGCUAGGAUGGACUUAGUAAGACAAAGCUCAACAAAACCUACAUACGACGACUGAGGAAGACUGAUGAGGAAGAAGACUGAAACUCACUCUCUUUUACAAUAUUACAGGGAAUGAAAAAAACCGAGAAGGUAAAGGCCAUACCUUGAUCCUAGUGUUUUUCGUGAAAGGAUUCUAAGUAGUAUCUUAUUUGAAGGUCUUGACAGAUGCAUGCAAUACUUUGUGUUUCACUCUCGAGUGUUCAAAAAAGUAUAGUUACUUCCAUAAAAGAUAAGAAAUGUUGCUUGGCAGUUUGUUUGGAACUUUGCGUUAGUAUGCAUGCUAGUAACUACUCCGUAUGGUGUUUCAGCCCCAAAUUGACAAUAUUACCCUUAUUAUUUUUCUUAGUUUAAAAAGUUGGUGUUUAGAUAUAAUGAUAAUAUUUUAGUAUAUGUUUCCAUCCUUUUAAUUGUACUGUUUCUAGCACAAUGCUGCCAAUUCAUAUUUAAUAUAAUUUAUCUACUUAGUCAUUCAAUUUUUCAUUGUUUUUUUUAAUUGUGUGAUCAGAAGUCAAAAAGGAGCAUUUUAAAUUUAAAUGCUAUUAUUGGUAUUGUAACAUCCGGAUAUCCAUGUAUUAUAUUUAUCUUUUAUUUUUGAGUUUAAAGGGUGGACUCGACGAGUUGACGCAUAGACUCGUCGAGUAGGGUUGCGAGUGAUGAUUGGAUUAAUGAAGGGACUCGACGAGUCGGAGGGGGGACUCGACGAGUCCGCACUGUAAAAUGAAACCCUAAUUCCUCGGGCCUGAAUCCUAUUUAAAGGACCUUAUAGCCCUCUUGUGCGGCUACCUGUCUAGAGAGAGUACCCCAUAAGAGCUUGAGCGAGUUGAUAGAGAGAUGAGGCCAUAUUAAUCGAUUUUAGUGUGUUCUAGCAAAGGAGAAGUUGUUCGAAGCAAGAGGAGGUCAAGGGAACUGUGGAUCCAGAGUUUUCAAGCACAGAUCUACACUAUUUGAGGCGGAGGCUAGUGCUGUAUUUUAGAGUUCGAGGUUCACCGAGUAUCCGAGGUACCAGUGAGGAUCGCGGGAAUGCGCCGGCAUGAUCAUUACACACACACAAGGAAGAGAUUUUGUACUUUACGAUCUUGGGUUGUACUUACGAAUUGAUAUGUGAACAAUGAGAUUUUAUAAUAUUAAUGAAUGAAAUAUGUUUUUAAAA